rnacentral:rRNA from 1 species
AGAGUUUGAUCAUGGCUCAGAUUGAACGCUGGCGGCAGGCCUAACACAUGCAAGUCGAGCGGUAGCACAGAGAGCUUGCUCUCGGGUGACGAGCGGCGGACGGGUGAGUAAUGUCUGGGAAACUGCCUGAUGGAGGGGGAUAACUACUGGAAACGGUAGCUAAUACCGCAUAACGUCGCAAGACCAAAGUGGGGGACCUUCGGGCCUCAUGCCAUCAGAUGUGCCCAGAUGGGAUUAGCUAGUAGGUGGGGUAACGGCUCACCUAGGCGACGAUCCCUAGCUGGUCUGAGAGGAUGACCAGCCACACUGGAACUGAGACACGGUCCAGACUCCUACGGGAGGCAGCAGUGGGGAAUAUUGCACAAUGGGCGCAAGCCUGAUGCAGCCAUGCCGCGUGUGUGAAGAAGGCCUUCGGGUUGUAAAGCACUUUCAGCGGGGAGGAAGGCGGUAAGGUUAAUAACCUUGUCGAUUGACGUUACCCGCAGAAGAAGCACCGGCUAACUCCGUGCCAGCAGCCGCGGUAAUACGGAGGGUGCAAGCGUUAAUCGGAAUUACUGGGCGUAAAGCGCACGCAGGCGGUCUGUCAAGUCGGAUGUGAAAUCCCCGGGCUCAACCUGGGAACUGCAUUCGAAACUGGCAGGCUAGAGUCUUGUAGAGGGGGGUAGAAUUCCAGGUGUAGCGGUGAAAUGCGUAGAGAUCUGGAGGAAUACCGGUGGCGAAGGCGGCCCCCUGGACAAAGACUGACGCUCAGGUGCGAAAGCGUGGGGAGCAAACAGGAUUAGAUACCCUGGUAGUCCACGCCGUAAACGAUGUCGAUUUGGAGGUUGUGCCCUUGAGGCGUGGCUUCCGGAGCUAACGCGUUAAAUCGACCGCCUGGGGAGUACGGCCGCAAGGUUAAAACUCAAAUGAAUUGACGGGGGCCCGCACAAGCGGUGGAGCAUGUGGUUUAAUUCGAUGCAACGCGAAGAACCUUACCUGGUCUUGACAUCCACAGAACUUUCCAGAGAUGGAUUGGUGCCUUCGGGAACUGUGAGACAGGUGCUGCAUGGCUGUCGUCAGCUCGUGUUGUGAAAUGUUGGGUUAAGUCCCGCAACGAGCGCAACCCUUAUCCUUUGUUGCCAGCGGUCAGGCCGGGAACUCAAAGGAGACUGCCAGUGAUAAACUGGAGGAAGGUGGGGAUGACGUCAAGUCAUCAUGGCCCUUACGACCAGGGCUACACACGUGCUACAAUGGCAUAUACAAAGAGAAGCGACCUCGCGAGAGCAAGCGGACCUCAUAAAGUAUGUCGUAGUCCGGAUUGGAGUCUGCAACUCGACUCCAUGAAGUCGGAAUCGCUAGUAAUCGUAGAUCAGAAUGCUACGGUGAAUACGUUCCCGGGCCUUGUACACACCGCCCGUCACACCAUGGGAGUGGGUUGCAAAAGAAGUAGGUAGCUUAACCUUCGGGAGGGCGCUUACCACUUUGUGAUUCAUGACUGGGGUGAAGUCGUAACAAGGUAACCGUAGGGGAACCUGCGGUUGGAUCACCU